rnacentral:rRNA from 1 species
CAGCAGGCGCGAAAAYUUUACAAUGCGGGCAMCSKUAUAAGGGAACYUGGAGKGCCUGUACAUGCAGRCAGUWUGGGUGUYUAAAACACACCCAAAGAAAGGGCCGGGCAAGMCCGGUGCCAGCCGCCGCGGUAAUACCGGCGGCUCGAGUGGUGGCCACUUUUAUUGGGCUUAAAGCGUUCGUAGCUGGGUUGUUAAGUYUCUUGGGAAAUYUGGCAGCUUAACUGUCAGGCGUYUAAGAGAUACUGGCAAUCUAGGAACCGGGAGAGGUGAGGGGUACUUCGGGGGUAGGAGUGAAAUCCUGUAAUCCUCGAGGGACCACCUGUGGCGAAGGCGCCUCACCAGAACGGCUUCGACAGUGAGGGACGAAAGCUGGGGGAGCAAWCCGGAUUAGAUACCCGGGUAGUCCCAGCCGUAAACGAUGCKCGUUUGUUUGUCGAUGACCACGAGUCAUCGAGGUGCCGAAGGGAAACCGUGAAACGCKCCGCC